CCUACGGGGGGCUGCAGUGGGGAAUAUUGCGCAAUGGGCGAAAGCCUGACGCAGCGACGUCGCGUGAGGGAUGAAGGUCUUCGGAUUGGAAACCUCUGUCAGCAGGGAAGAACGGUCACUGUGCUAAUCAGCAGUGAAUUGACGGUACCUGUAAAGGAAGCACCGGCUAACUCCGUGCCAGCAGCCGCGGUAAUACGGAGGGUGCGAGCGCUAAUCGGAAUUACUGGGCGUAAAGCGCUCGUAGGCGGUAUGUCAAGUCAAGGGUGAAAUCCCCGCGCUCAACGUGGGAACUGCCUUUGAAACUGGCAAACUGGAGUGUGUGGGAGGAUAGUGGAAUUCCAGGUGUAGGAGUGAAAUGCGUAGAUAUCUGGAGGAACAUCAGUGGCGAAGGCGACUAUCUGGCACAUAACUGACGCUGAGGAGCGAAGGCGUGGGUAGCGAACAGGAUUAGAUACCCUGGUAGUC
rnacentral:rRNA from 1 species